GGCCCGCUAGCUCAAUGGUUAGAGCAAUAGCCUUUUAAGCUAUUGGUUCUCGGUUCGAGUCCGAGGCGGGUCA
rnacentral:tRNA from 1 species